UGGCUCAAUGGUUAAGAGCACUGACUGCUCUUCCAGAGGUCCUGGGUUCAAUUCCCAG
rnacentral:tRNA from 1 species